rnacentral:rRNA from 1 species
ACCUAUGGCCAUGCCACCCUGAACAAGCUCGAUCCCGUCUAAUCUUGGAAGCUAAGCAGCGUCGGGGCCUCUUUAGUACUUGAAUGGGAAACCACCGAGGAAGACCAGGUGCUAUAGGCA